rnacentral:rRNA from 1 species
GGGCCCAGAUCGUUUACCGUGAAAAAAUUAGAGUGUUCAAAGCAGGCAGAUCCAAUUUUCUGCCACCGAAUACAUUAGCAUGGGAUAAUGGAAUAGGACCCUGUCCUCCUAUUUUCAGUUGGUUUUGGCAGCGCGAGGACUAGGGUAAUGAUUAAUAGGGAUAGUUGGGGGCAUUAAUAUUUAAUUGUCAGAGGUGAAAUUCUUGGAUUUAUGAAAGAUUAACUUCUGCGAAAGCAUCUGCCAAGGAUGUUUUCAUUAAUCAAGAACGAAAGUUAGGGGAUCGAAGACGAUCAGAUACCGUCGUAGUCUUAACCAUAAACGAUGCCGACCAGCGAUUAGGAGACGUUGAAUACAAAACACCACCAUCGGCGCGGUCGUCCUUGGCGUCGGUCCUUCACGGGGCCGGCGCGAGGGCGGCUAGCCC